CAGCCGCCGCGGUAAUACGUAGGGAGCGAGCGUUAUCCGGAUUUAUUGGGUGUAAAGGGUGCGUAGGCUGAUAAACAGGUCUAAGGUCUAAGUCCGAAGCUUAACUUCGGUUCGCCUUAGAAACCAGUUAUCUAGAGUAUGGUAGAGGCAAGUGGAAUUUCUAGUGUAGCGGUAAAAUGCGUAGAUAUUAGAAGGAACACCAGUGGCGAAGGCGACUUGCUGGACCAUAACUGACGCUGAGGCACGAAAGCGUGGGGAGCAAAUAGGAUUAGAUACCCUAGUAGUCCACGCCGUAAACUAUGGAUACUAAGUGUCGGGCAACCGGUGCUGAAGUUAACACAUUAAGUAUCCCACCUGAGUAGUACGGUCGCAAGGCUGAAACUUAAAGGAAUUGACGGGCACCCGCACAAGCGGUGGAGCAUGCUGUUUAAUUCGAAGAUACGCGAAAAACCUUACCUAGACUUGACAUCCCAAUGACCGACUUAGAAAUAAGUCUUUCCCUUCGGGGACAUUGGUGACAGGUGGUGCAUGGCC
rnacentral:rRNA from 1 species